CACGGAAUUAGCCGGUCCUUAUUCAUGCGGUACCUGCAAAAAGGGACGCGUCCCUCACUUUAUCCCCGCAUAAAAGCAGUUUACAACCCGUAGGGCCGUCAUCCUGCACGCUACUUGGCUGGUUCAGGCUUCCGCCCAUUGACCAAUAUUCCUCACUGCUGCCUCCCGUAGGAGUUUGGACCGUGUCUCAGUUCCAAUGUGGGGGACCUUCCUCUCAGAACCCCUACUGAUCGUCGCCUUGGUGGGCCGUCGCCCCGCCAACUAGCUAAUCAGACGCAUCCCCCUCCGUUACCGACGGAUCUUUGCUUCGAAUCUGAUGCCGUCAUCGAAGAACAUGCGGUAUUAGUCUGCCUUUCGGCAGGUUACUCCCGCAGUAACGGGAAGGUUGGAUACGCGUUACUCACCGUGCGCCGGUCGACGUCCAUUCAGUGCAAGCACUCAAUGCCCGUUUCCCUCGACUUGCUAUGUGUUAACGCCUGUAGCCAGCGUUCAUCCGUGAGCCAGGAUCAAACUCUACG
rnacentral:rRNA from 1 species